rnacentral:rRNA from 1 species
UACGUAGGGUGCGAGCGUUAAUCGGAAUUACUGGGCGUAAAGUGUGCGCAGGUGGCUGAGCAAGUCGAGUGUGAAAUCCCCGGGCUUAACUUGGGAAUUGCGCUCGAAACUACUUGGCUCGAGUGUGGCAGAGGAAGGUGGAAUUCCAGGUGUAGCGGUGAAAUGCGUAGAGAUCUGGAGGAACACCGAUGGCGAAGGCAGCCUUCUGGGCCAACACUGACGCUCAUGCACGAAAGCGUGGGGAGCAAACAGGAUUAGAAACCCCCGUAGUCC